GUAGUGAGAACUGUCAAGAGAUGGACCAGGGAAACAGAGCAGGAGCUACAGGCCUGCUUUGAAUGCACUGACUGGAGUGUUUUUCAAGCUGCUGCCACAAACCUGGAUGAACUCACGGACUCUGUUACAUCUUACAUCAGUUUCUGUGAGGACAUGUGCAUUCCCACCCGGACCUUCUUAACAUACAACAACGACAAACCAUGGUUCUCUGGAAAACUCAGACAGCUUCGUAAAGCCAAAGGAGAUGCCUACAGAAGUGGUGAUCGGGUCUUGUAUAAUCAGGCCAGGAACACACUGAAUAAGGAGAUCAGAGCAGCUAAGAGGAGCUACUCCAAAAAGCUGGAAAACCAGUUUACAGCUAACGACUCUGCUUCAGUGUGGAGAGGCCUGAGGACAAUAACCAACUAUAGGACUCCAUCCUCCUCCUCAAUAGGCAAUCAAACGCUGGUGAACGAUCUGAAUGAGUUUUAUUGCAGAUUUGAAUCACCCCCCACCCGCUCUGAUUGUCCUCCAGAGCAACCAUUAACACCUCCAUCCAUCAACCCCCUCUCCCCCGCUCUGAUACUUCAGACCAGUGUGGACGAUGUGUGUCGGCUCUUCAGGAAGCAGAAGAGAAGGAAAGCACCAGGACCAGAUGGGGUUUCACCAUCAUGCCUCAGAACCUGUGCUGACCAGCUGGCUCCCAUCUUCUCUCUGAUCUUCAACAGAUCACUGGAGCUGUGUGAAGUCCCUGCAUGCUUCAAACGCUCCACCAUCAUUCCCAUCCCCAAGAAGCCAAAAAUCACAGGACUCAACGACUACAGACCAGUGGCUCUGACAUCCGUGGUCAUGAAGUCCUUUGAAAGACUGGUGUUGGCCCAUCUGAAGAACGUCACUGGACCCUUCCUGGACCCCCUGCAGUUUGCCUACCGAUCCAAUCGGUCCGUGGAUGAUGCAGUCAAUAUGGGGCUGCACUACAUCCUGCAACAUCUGGACAAACCAGGGACUUAUGUAAGGAUUCUGUUUGUGGACUUCAGCUCAGCAUUCAACACCAUCAUCCCAUCACUCCUCCAGAAUAAACUCUCCCAGCUCUCUGUUCCUGACUCCACCUGUCAGUGGAUUACAAGCUUCCUGACGGAUAGGCAACAGCUAGUGAGGAUGGGGAAAUUUACUUCUGGCUCCCGCAUCACCAGCACCGGCGCCCCCCAGGGGUGUGUUCUCUCCCCACUGCUCUUCUCCCUCUACACAAACGACUGCACCUCCUGUGACUCCUCUGUGAAACUCCUGAAGUUUGCAGAUGACACCACUGUCAUUGGUCUCAUCCAGGACGGUGAAGAGUCUGCAUACAGACAGGAGGUGGAGCAGCUGGCUCGCUGGUGCAGUCACAACAACUUGGAGCUAAACACGCUCAAAACAGUGGAGAUGGUUGUGGACUUCAGGAGAAAUGCCCCCACCCACCCCCC
rnacentral:lncRNA from 1 species